rnacentral:rRNA from 1 species
AGGACGAACGCUGGCGGCGUGCCUAAUACAUGCAAGUCGAGCGAAUGACGAGGAGCUUGCUCCUUGAUUAGCGGCGGACGGGUGAGUAACACGUGGGCAACCUGCCCUGUAGACUGGGAUAACUUCGGGAAACCGGAGCUAAUACCGGAUAAUCCAUUUCACCUCAUGGUGAAAUGUUGAAAGGCGCAUCUCGCGUCACUACAGGAUGGGCCCGCGGUGCAUUAGCUAGUUGGUGGGGUAACGGCCUACCAAGGCAACGAUGCAUAGCCGACCUGAGAGGGUGAUCGGCCACAUUGGGACUGAGACACGGCCCAAACUCCUACGGGAGGCAGCAGUAGGGAAUCUUCCACAAUGGACGAAAGUCUGAUGGAGCAACGCCGCCGUGAGUGAUGAAGGUUUUCGGAUCGUAAAACUCUGUUGUAAGGGAAGAACAAGUACGUUAGGAAAUGAACGUACCUUGACGGUACCUUAUUAGAAAGCCACGACUAACUACGUGCCAGCAGCCGC